CAGUGAUCUUGCGUCAGCUGUAAUGCCAGUUGCGAGUAAGCCCAGAUACUUAGUAAUGGAGAAAAGGUGAGUGACACUUGUCUGAUCCAAAAGUUUAUCAGGGACCUUCUUCUGAGUCACAACGCAAACCGAAUCCUUCCCUUUGACACCAAUAGAGGUAGUUCCAGCAGAUUUCACAGCCUUGAACGCAUACUCGACUUGAAAUAGUCGGCCCUCGGGUGAGAAAAUAGUAAUGUGACGAUCGUAUCCUCCUCCACUUCCACGGCUCAUGGCUCCGGGUUCCGAUGAAUUAGGGCUUCGACGGGUUUAGGGUCUGUGGGGAAAAUGGUUAGGGAGAGCUUGAAGAAUGAAUAUAGCAGUGGAGCCGCGAAAAAGCUUUCUCGCCAAGAAAACCGCUCAGUAAGGCAGCACCCGG
rnacentral:misc_RNA from 1 species